rnacentral:lncRNA from 1 species
UUAAAAAAACCCACUUUUGCCUUUAUUUAGUGCCUGGAAAAGAGCAACAGCGACCGGCAAAGGGACCCCAAUGGGACCCCAAUGGGGGGGGGCCCUAAAGGGGGGGUCCCAAGAGACAGGGGGGACCCCAACACAAAGGGGGGACCCCCAUUGCCGCCGAUAAAUAGAGCUAAACAAUAAAAAAGGGGGGUUUUGGGGUCCAAAAGGGGGGUUUUGGGGUCCCCCCCAUUGAUUAUGGGGGGUCUUCAAUGGGGUUUGGGGGCCCCACGAUGGGUUUUGGGGUCCCAAAGGGGGGUUUGGGGGUUCUUCAAUGGGUUUUGGGGUCCCCAAGGGGAGGGAAUUGAGGUUCCUCAAUGGGAUUUGGGGUCCCCCCCAUUGAUUUUAGGGUCCCAGAUGGUGUUUGGGGGCUCCCUCAAUGGGUUUUGGGGUCUCCUCCAUUGACUUUAUGGUUCCUCAAUGGGUUUUGGGGUCCCCCCCAUUGAUUUUAGGGCCUUAGAUGGUGUUUGGGGGCUCCCUCAAUGGGUUUUGGGGUCCCUCAGAUGCAUUUUGGGGUCCCAAGGGGGGAAUUAAGGUCCCCAAAGGGGGUUUUGGGGUCCCCUCAAUGGGUUUUGGGGUUCCCCUCAAUGGGUCCCCCUCAGAAAUCAGCAAAUUUUGAGGAAAACCACCAAAAGUUUUGUGUGAAACCUCCAAAUUUUGCGGGAAACCCCAAAUUCUGAGGGAAAAAACCCAAAUUUGGAGGAAACCCUCCGAGAUUUUGACAGAAAACCCCAAAAUUUUGAGGGAAAACACAGAAUUUGGUUGGAAAACCCCAAAUUUUAAGGAAAACCCCAAAUUCUGAGGAAAACAAACCCAAAUUUUGAGGAAAACCCCCAAGAUUUUUACGGAAACCCCCAAAUUUUGAUGAAACCCCCCCAAUUCUGAAGAAAAAAACCCAAAUUUUGAGGAAAACUCCCCAAAUUCUGAGUGAAAACUCCAAAUUUUGAGGAAAAAAACCCAUUAUUUUGAUGGGAACCCCCAAAUUUUGUGGAAAACCCCCAAAUUUUGCAGUAAAACCCCAAAAUUUGAUGAAACAAAAUCAAAAUAUCAAGGAAAACCCCCAAAAUUUUAAGGAAAACCCCAAAUUUUUAGGAAAAACUCCAAGAUUUUAAGGAAAAAACCCAAAUUCUGAGGGGAAAACACAGAAAUUUGCUUGGAAAACCCCAAAUUUCGAGGAAAAUCUCCAAGAUUUUAAGGAAAAAACCUCAAAUUUUGAGGGGAAAACCCAGAAAUUUGGUUGGGAAACCCCCAAAUUUUGAGGAAAACCUCCAAAACUUGAUGAAAAACCCCCAAAAUCUCAAGGAAAACCCCCAAAACUUUGAGGAAACCCCUAAAUUCUGAGGAAAACCUCCAAGAUUUUUAGGAAAAACACCAAAUUUUGAGGGGAAACCCCAGAAAUUCGGCUGGGAAAACGACCAAAUUUUGAGGAAACCCCCAAAUUCUGAGGAAAAACUCCAAGAUUUUAAGGAAAACCCCCAAAUUCUGAGAGGAAAACCCAGAAAUUUGGUUGGGAGAAGCCAAAUUUUGAGGAAACCCCCCAAAAUUUGAUGAAAAACCCCCAAAUUUUUAGGAAAAACUCCAAGAUUUUAAGGAAAACCCCAAAAUUCUGAGGGGAAACCCCAGAAAUUUGGUUGGGAAACACCCAAAUUUUGAGGAAACCCCCCAAAAUUCGAUGAAAACCCCCCAAAAUUUCGAGGAAAACCCCCAAAAUUUUGAGGAAAACCCCCAAAAUUUUGAGGAAACCCCCAAAAUUUCGCCCCCUUUCCCACGGGGGGACCCCAAGGUGUCCCCAAUGGGCCCCAACCCCAUCUCCUGGUGGCUUCGGGGGGCUCCUUCACUUCCUCUUCUUCUUGGGGGGCCCCGCGGUGCGAUGGUGGCCGCGGCGCCCGGCCGGGG